CACGUAGGGGGCAAGCGUUGUCCGGAUUUAUUGGGCGUAAAGAGCUCGUAGGUGGCUUAGUAAGUCGGGUGUGAAACCUCCAGGCUCAACCUGGAGACGCCACCCGAUACUGCUAUAGCUUGAGUCCGGUAGGGGAGCGUGGAAUUCCUGGUGUAGCGGUGAAAUGCGCAGAUAUCAGGAGGAACACCAGCGGCGAAGGCGGCGCUCUGGGCCGGUACUGACACUGAGGAGCGAAAGCGUGAGGAGCAAACAGG
rnacentral:rRNA from 1 species